UGUUUCAGUAGUAACAUUUUUUUAAAGUAAAUUAAUCUACAAAAUUGUAUUUUAUUUUAUUUUAUACGUUUCAGUUGGAAUUGAUACAAAAUCGCUUGUUCAAAAAAUGCAAAACUUUGUAUUGAAAAAAAAAUUUACCCCUAAAAAUGGACUCCUCAAACUUAUUAAUCGUGUGGGUCAAAACAAAAGGCAGAGCAUUCCACCUUUAAAUCAUAUUCUUACUGCAGAAUCAGAAGUAGAAAUUGAUUUUAAUACAUAAAAAAAAACACAAGAAAACUCCUUUAAGUCAACAAAACAGAAAGAGAAAAAAAAAUUUAUCUUUGAAGAACCUCCUUUACCAUCAUUACCAUUGUGGGAGCCACCAAAGCUUCCUGAUUCCGAUUCAAACUUUUUGUCCGUCUCUGCCUCAAUGGAUCAAGUAGAUGACUUGCCAGUUACACAGAUAGUGUUUCCAUCAGAAAUG